CCUACCUUGCAAGUCGGGCGGUAACAGGAAAGCGCUUGCGCUUUUGCUGACGAGCGGCGGACGGGUGAGUAAUGUCUGGGGAUCUGCCCGAGGGCGGGGGAUAACCACUGGAAACGGUGGCUAAUACCGCAUAAUGUCGCGAGACCAAAGUGGGGGACCUGAAAGGGCCUCACGCCGUCGGAUGAACCCAGAUGGGAUUAGCUGGUAGGUAGGGUAAUGGCCUACCUAGGCGACGAUCCCUAGCUGGUCUGAGAGGAUGACCAGCCACACUGGGACUGAGACACGGCCCAGACUCCUACGGGAGGCAGCAGUGGGGAAUAUUGCACAAUGGGCGCAAGCCUGAUGCAGCCAUGCCGCGUGUAUGAAGAAGGCCUUCGGGUUGUAAAGUACUUUCAGCGGGGAGGAAGGGUUGAGCCUGAACAGGGCUGGUCCUUGACGUUACCCGCAGAAGAAGCACCGGCUAACUCCGUGCCUGCAGCCGCGGUAAUACGGAGGGUGCGAGCGUUAAUC
rnacentral:rRNA from 1 species